CCUACGGGAGGCUGCAGUAGGGAAUCUUCCACAAUGGGCGAAAGCCUGAUGGAGCAACGCCGCGUGGGUGAAGAAGGUCUUCGGAUCGUAAAACCCUGUUGUUAGAGAAGAAAGUGCGUGAGAGUAACUGUUCACGUUUCGACGGUAUCUAACCAGAAAGCGACGGCUAACUACGUGCCAGCAGCCGCGGUAAUACGUAGGUGGCAAGCGUUAUCCGGAUUUGUUGGGCGUAAAGGUAACGCAGGCGGUCUUUUAAGUCUGAUGUGAAAGCCUUCGGCUUAACCGGAGUAGUGCAUUGGAAACUGGGAGACUUGAGUGCAGAAGAGGAGAGUGGAACUCCAUGUGUAGCGGUGAAAUGCGUAGAUAUAUGGAAGAACACCAGUGGCGAAAGCGGCUCUCUGGUCUGUAACUGACGCUGAGGUUCGAAAGCGUGGGUAGCAAACAGGAUUAGAUACCCUAGUAGUC
rnacentral:rRNA from 1 species